UGCAGCAGUAUGGUGGGAGGUUGUUGAAUGCUCUUUGCUGCCAGGUGCUGCCGGGACAAAUUUUCCCGUGGUAGCGGCAUCCCUCCAACAUGUGUCCCCACUGCCUCCUCUGCGGCCGCCCCCACGCCACCAACACACUCCGGCAUAUAUGAACCAUGUGGGCCCAAAUACGGCAAACACAAGGCUGGAACGACGGCUGGAAGGCUGUUCUUGGGAUUAUUAAAGUUUGGAUUCUAAAAAUCUCCAGUAUAACAGAUAUCUGAGGAGAUUCAGUCAUGCUGCUCAAGGUCAUUUGAUGUCUCAAUAGAAUGAAAGUGCAGUGAUUGGCACUUUUACGCAUCAGUGCCUCUGAACCCCAGCUGGCUGUGCUGUAAGUCAGAGCUUCCAGUGGCUGGUGGCCAGUGCUGACUGGGAAAGCUUCCAGCCUCAGAGGGACUGUGAUUAACCCAGGAGCGGUCAAACUCGGCAGGAAGCCCCCUACAACCAGCCACUGCUAUUUAUCCACUUUCCAAUGAAACCAAUUACUUUUACAGCGAGCCUCGGUGCCGACACUAUAUGUGUUGUUCUUACAGACCAAUAGAGUAUGGCUGUGAAAGGAGAAGCAGACGUGAAGUGGGAAUCCCUCCUGAGCUGCUUCAACAGGCUGUAAAAUAUACCUAAAGUCAGUAUCCAUGGAGACCCACUGAUGUGUGAGAGCAGCCUGAGGGACACACAAAACCUUUUAGAAAACAAGUAUAUUAUUAUUUUUCCCAUUUUGUUCACUUGAUAUCAAAGCAGCUGUAGAGUUGUCAAGCCAUCAGUGAUUUUUCCAAGCUGCAGCCAAAAUGUAAAAAUAAACCCAGUUUACACUUUUAUUUUUUAUAUUGUACUUACAUUGCUUGCUUGCUGUUACACCUUUUCACAAUGUGAAACAUGAAUGUCAACUUCCUGACAUCACUGGUGUCUAGUCAUUUGCUGUUCUUUUUACUAAAGGUGAAAAUGACUUUGCAGAAACUUUUAACUUUUUAGAGGAAAGGUACACUAUAAUUGUGAACAAUGUGUCUGCAGUAAUUGUGGAUUGUGACAGUGUUUAAGCAGCUAAAGAUGCAGAGCUAGAAUUGAAGAGCAGAUUCAUUUGAAAUCUGCAAUGUGCUAUCACAUUACAGUAAUGGUGCUAUGACUUAAUUAAAAGCCACUAUGAUCUUACAA